rnacentral:lncRNA from 1 species
CCCUGGUCCACAACAACGUCGACUUCCAACGGCGCCGUUUCAGCCGCCGAAAUCAUCAAACCCUAGCAUACCUUUCAUGUCCUUCGAUGUAGGAUCUGCAGCUGCUUCCACUUCAUUUUCCACUCCUCAGUUCGCCUCCACCACAAUCGGCGGCGGUUCGACGGGUUUCGAAGACGAGCCGCCGUUACUCGAAGAGCUAGGGAUUAAGUUCGCCUGCACCACAAUCGGUGGCGGUUCGACGGGUUUCGAAGAUGAGCCGCCGUUACUCGAAGAGCUAGGAAUUAACACAAAACAAAUUUACCAAAAAACACUCAGUAUUCUCAAUCCCUUCCGCGUCAAAUCAGAUCUUCAC